GAGCUCUAUCUGUUCCUGGUGAAAACGCUGACUGAAAGCCUGCAGCUCUCUCAGGACAGAUUACACACUGCAGACAGGCUACUGCUUUCCACGUUAGUGCUUCAGACCAUAAGCCUGAUGCUCGGUGAGACGGAGAAAGGAGCUGCUCGCUUUAGCGCACUAACGUCCAAGCAGGGAAGCGUGACUGCAGACUUGCUCUUGGCUUUGGUGUGUGUGAUCCUGAGCUAAAGCCUUACAACUGCAAUUCUACAUCUCACACAGAGGUAAGACACAACACUGUUAUCUGUCUUGUUUGUGUUAUUGCUGUACUGGAUAUAGUUUCAAUAAGAAUGAAUCAUCUGUGUCUGGACAUAACCAGUG